GACGAACGCUGGCGGCGUGCUUAACACAUGCAAGUCGUACGGUAAGGCCCUUUCGGGGGUACACGAGUGGCGAACGGGUGAGUAACACGUGAGUAACCUGCCCACAACUUUGGGAUAACGCUAGGAAACUGGUGCUAAUACUGGAUAUGUUCUCCUGCUGCAUGGUGGGGGUUGGAAAGCUCCGGCGGUUGUGGAUGGACUCGCGGCCUAUCAGCUUGUUGGUGGGGUAGUGGCCUACCAAGGCGGCGACGGGUAGCCGGCCUGAGAGGGUGACCGGCCACAUUGGGACUGAGAUACGGCCCAGACUCCUACGGGAGGCAGCAGUGGGGAAUAUUGCACAAGGGGCGCAAGCCUGAUGCAGCAACGCCGCGGGCGGGAUGACGGCCUUCGGGUUGUAAACCGCUUUCAGCAGGGACGAAGCUUUUUGUGACGGUACCUGCAGAAGAAGCACCGGCUAACUACGUG
rnacentral:rRNA from 1 species